AAACUGCUUCAGGAUGCAUCGAUGCAUCCAUCGCAUGUAUCGAUACACAUGCCAAUUGUGAAUAUUUGGCAUCGACGCAUGACCCUCUGCAUCGAUACAUACUGAUGCUAUCUGAAUUAAAUGCAUUUCUUUCUCUCUCAUGCAUCGACACAUCAGCCAAUCAUAUCACUUCCUAUCUCAUUACUUCAUCUCAUCUGCCCUCAAAAACCCCAAAACCAGUGGCUAACCCUAAUCC
rnacentral:lncRNA from 1 species